UGACCUCGGAUCAGGUAGGGAUACCCGCUGAACUUAAGCAUAUCAAUAAGCGGAGGAAAAGAAACCAACAGGGAUUGCCUCAGUAACGGCGAGUGAAGCGGCAAAAGCUCAAAUUUGAAAUCUGGCCUCACGGUCCGAGUUGUAAUUUGUAGAGGAUGUUUCGAACGUGGUCCGGUCUAAGUUCCUUGGAACAGGACGUCAUAGAGGGUGAGAAUCCCGUAUGUGCCCGGGUGCCAUUGUUCAUGUGAAGCUCCUUCGACGAGUCGAGUUGUUUGGGAAUGCAGCUCAAAAUGGGUGGUAAAUUUCAUCUAAAGCUAAAUACUGG
rnacentral:rRNA from 1 species